rnacentral:rRNA from 1 species
GACGAACGCUGGCGGCGUGCUUAACACAUGCAAGUCGAACGGAAAGGCCCAGCUUGCUGGGUACUCGAGUGGCGAACGGGUGAGUAACACGUGGGUGAUCUGCCCUGGACUCUGGGAUAAGCCUGGGAAACUGGGUCUAAUACCGGAUAUGACCUUACAUCGCAUGGUGUUUGGUGGAAAGCUUUUGCGGUUCAGGAUGGGCCCGCGGCCUAUCAGCUUGUUGGUGGGGUAAUGGCCUACCAAGGCGACGACGGGUAGCCGACCUGAGAGGGUGAUCGGCCACACUGGGACUGAGAGACGGCCCAGACUCCUACGGGAGGCAGCAGUGGGGAAUAGUGUACCAUGGGCGCAAGCCUGAUGCAGCGACGCCGCGUGAGGGAUGACGGCCUUCGGGUUGUAAACCUCUUUCACCAGGGACGAAGCGUGAGUGACGGUACCUGGAGAAGAAGCACCGGCCAACUACGUG